rnacentral:rRNA from 1 species
UACGUAGGGCGCAAGCGUUGUCCGGAAUUAUUGGGCGUAAAGAGCUCGUAGGCGGCUUGUCACGUCGGAUGUGAAAGCCCGGGGCUUAACCCCGGGCCUGCAGUGGGUACGGGCAGACUAGAGUGCGGUAGGGGAGACUGGAAUUCCUGGUGUAGCGGUGAAAUGCGCAGAUAUCAGGAGGAACACCGGUGGCGAAGGCGGGUCUCUGGGCCGUAACUGACGCUGAGGAGCGAAAGCGUGGGGAGCGAACAGG